UUUUUGUAUUAUGUACUUCUAGUAGGGGUUGUCCAUGUUUCAAAAAUGACUUUAUCAGAAUUUGUCAAGUAAAACCAUUACAAGGCACCCUCCUUUCUAUGUCAUGAGAGAAUCUUACAACUACUGAAUUUAGUUGGCUUUGGUGUUAAGAAAUAAAAUCUAGACAUGUGAAUAAUACCACAAGAGUCCACAAAAAGAAACAGAUUUUCCUACAAAUCUGAAAAAACAGAAAGCUGUAAAUUAAAGUAGCUGUCAUUUUCAACUGUUUGUUUCAUACACGACUGCACUAAACAAGUCCAACAUUUUGAUUAAUAACAAACCUAAACCCAGAGGAAAGAAGGGGCUAUCAGCUUACAAACUACUUCAGCUUUAAUAUUACACUAUUUAGCAUGGCUGGUUACUCAGCAAUAAUAUUUAAUCUUUAAUUGAAAUAAAAACAUAAUCAAAAUGCUUCUCCCAUUUAUCUUUCAACAUGCUUUGGUCACUUCAUUUUAAAAAGCAAAACAAAACAAUUAUUAUGAUUUUCAGCAUAAUAAACUCCUGACCUGUGUGCCUUCAUAAAUCACAGACUGCAUGAAUUGAAAGCAUGCCCACAUUUUACAGUCUCCUAUGAGAAUAUACACGCAGACUUAUUAUACAGACUUAAUUCAAGUACAUAAGGUCUGGUAGUUUAUAGCCCUGUAUGUACUAAUAACUCAAUACUAUCCACUCUGUGGCUGCUCA
rnacentral:lncRNA from 1 species